GACGAACGCUGGCGGCGUGCUUAACACAUGCAAGUCGAACGGAACGGCCCUGCUUUUUUGGGGUGCUCUAGUGGCGAACGGGUAAGUAACACGUGGGUAACCUGCCCUUGACUUUGGGAUAACUUCAUAAAACUGGGUCUAAUACCUCAUAGGAGCUCCUGCUUCAGGAUGGGGGUUGGAAAGUUUCGGCGGUUGGGGAUGGACUCGCGGCUCAUCGGCUUGUUGGUGGGGUAGUGGCUGACCAAGGCUUUGACGGGUAGCCGGCCUGAGAGGGUGACCGGCUAGAUUAGGAUGGGGAUACGGCCCGGACUACUAUGGGACGCAGCAGUGGGGAAUAUAGCAUAAUGGGCGGGACGCUGAUGUAGCAAAGCAGCGUGGGGUAAGAGGGCCAUGGGGUUGUAAUGCGCUUUCGCCUGUGACGAAGCGUGAGUGACAGUAAUGGGUAAAGAAGCACCGGCUAACUACGUG
rnacentral:rRNA from 1 species